UUUCAAAAACUGAGAAUGCAGCAAAAAAUAAAACAACAUGAUAAUAAAGACUAAAAGAAACAACAUACAAUAGCAAUAAAUAAAACAAAACAAUCAGUAAGAAAAGGAGUGAUAUAAAAACCAGGGAUAAGUGCAACACGAAGCCUUUUUCUUUCUGUUCCGUCCUCUUUUCGAAAUUGGAUUCUUUUCUUCCUCUCUUUUUUUGUUCUCUUAUGCUCUCUUUUUGAAAUUGAAUUUUUUCUCUAUUUUUUUUUUUCUGUUCCCUUAUGCUCUUUCCUUGAAGUUCAAUUCUCCUCCUUUUUCUUCUUUACCAGGUGCAUAUUUAUAUACACACAUUUGUAAUAUUAUUGUGAUCUUACCUUAAUGGCGAAUUAA
rnacentral:lncRNA from 1 species